GAACUUAGCAGAGAUGCUUUGGUGACCCUUUCGGGGAACGUCUGAGACAGGUGCUGCAUGGCUGUCGUCAGCUCGUGUUGUGAAAUGUUGGGUUAAGUCCCGCAACGAGCGCAACCCUUAUCCUUUGUUGCCAGCGGUCCGGCCGGGAACUCAAAGGAGACUGCCAGUGAUAAACUGGAGGAAGGUGGGGAUGACGUCAAGUCAUCAUGGCCCUUACGAGUAGGGCUACACACGUGCUACAAUGGCGCAUACAAAGAGAAGCGACCUCGCGAGAGCAAGCGGACCUCAUAAAGUGCGUCGUAGUCCGGAUUGGAGUCUGCAACUCGACUCCAUGAAGUCGGAAUCGCUAGUAAUCGUGGAUCAGAAUGCCACGGUGAAUACGUUCCCGGGCCUUGUACACACCGCCCGUCACACCAUGGGAGUGGGUUGCAAAAGAAGUAGGUAGCUUAACCUUCGGGAGGGCGCUUACCACUUUGUGAUUCAUGACUGGGGUGAAGUCGUAACAAGGUAGGCGUAGUGCU
rnacentral:rRNA from 1 species